ensembl:lncRNA
AUGGCAUGCUUGUGCGACUCCCCCCGCGGUGCACACAGUGCACUCGCACCCCCCAUUUUUUUUCAAAACCAUGAGGGGGCAACCCCAGAUCUCAUCCCCCUCCCUAGGCGGAGCGGGCGCAGAUCUAGGCUUAGACUCAUUGACCAUGAGCGGGUUAGUUCCCGACCAAUUCAACUCAAAGCUGCAGUUCGCCCGUCCCCCUCCACAAUUCGGCGGAGUGAUCCAAUCAGUGGUGCAGCAGGGGCAGUCUCAUUUUCUACGAAAAGAGAUAGACUCCCUGCUCCAAAAAGAAGCGAUAAGUAUAGUGCCUCCCGAGGAGGCAGCUUCAGGCUUCUACAGCCGUUAUUUCCUGGUCCCCAAAAAGGACGGGAACUAUCGGCCAAUAUUAGAUCUACGUGUAUUGAACAAAGCACUCAUGCUGCUGAAGUUCAGAAUGCUGAACUUAAAAGAUGCAUACUUCCAUGUCGCGAUCCACCCCAGACAUCGAAACUUUCUGAGAUUUGCGUUCGUAGGAAUAGCAUACCAGUUCCACGCACUCCCGUUCGGCUUGGCUUUGGCACCGAGGGUUUUUACAAAGUUCGUGGAAGCAGCCAUCGCCCCAUUACGACUACGCGGAUUGCGUUUAUUCAAUUAUUUGGACGAUUGGUUGAUUUGUGCUCAUUCAAGAGCAGCAGCGGUGCAAGACUGCCAUCUAGUGGUGGCACACCUGCAUCGACUAGGCUUUGUGAUAAACAAGGAAAAAAGCGUUCUGUGCCCAAGCCAGACCACGCAUUUCCUAGGCAUGAUUCUACACUGUCUACACUGAUUCUACAUUCUGUCCCAAGACCGAAUAAAUGCAAUCAGAUCAUGCGUGCAUCAGUUCCGACUAGGACAGUCAGUCCCGUCGCUGUGCUGCCAACAUCUGUUGGGCAUGAUGGCAUCGGCCGCGAUCGCUCUCCCGCUGGGGAUGUUGCGCAUGCAGCUUUUCCAAAUGUGGUAUCUGUCUCUGAGGCUCAAUUCAGUCAAGGACAGAUACUGCAGAAUAACGGUGUCCUCCAGAUGCAGGAAAACCCUGGCAAUCUGGAGAACUCCCUGGUUCCUCGCGGCAUCAGGCCCUAUGGGCAUAGUGACGCACCGCGUAGUGGUAACCACAGAUGCCUCAACCAGGGGGUGGGGAGCGGUCUGCGAGGGAAGAGGCGUGAACGGUCUCUGGUCUGCGACAGAGGCCGCGCCACAUAUAAAUGUGUUAGAACUGCGAACGUUGGCCCUGGAACUGCGACACUUUCUACCCAGAUUAAGUGGUCAGCAUGUGUUGGUGAGGACGGACAACACUUCGGCGUUGGCGUAUAUAAACCGCCAAGGCGGAGUGCGCUCCCUGUCACUGCACCACUGGGCGAACCGCUUGCUCCUGUGGGCAGCAGUUCACGUCCGUUCCCUCAGGGCAGUCCAUAUUCCAGGCCACCUCAACUACGGGGCGGACCUGUUAUCAAGGGGCGAACCUCAAGCAGCAGAUUGGUGUCUACGCCCUCAGGUGAUAGAGCAGAUCUGGCUGCGGUUUUUCAGGGCGCAGGUGGAUCUGUUUGCGAGCAGACAGAACACCUGCUGCCCUCUUUAGUUCUCGCUAGGGGGGCGACGACCCCCCACUCGGCAUAG